AUUGAACGCUGGCGGCAGGCUUAACACAUGCAAGUCGAGCGGAAACGAGAAUAGCUUGCUAUUCGGCGUCGAGCGGCGGACGGGUGAGUAAUGCUUGGGAAUAUGCCUUUGAGUGGGGGACAACAGUUGGAAACGACUGCUAAUACCGCAUAACGUCUACGGACCAAAGGGGGGGACGCUUCGGCACCUCUCGCUCAUUGAUUAGCCCAAGUGAGAUUAGCUAGUUGGUAAGGUAAUGGCUUACCAAGGCGACGAUCUCUAGCUGGUUUGAGAGGAUGAUCAGCCACACUGGGACUGAGACACGGCCCAGACUCCUACGGGAGGCAGCAGUGGGGAAUAUUGCACAAUGGGCGAAAGCCUGAUGCAGCCAUGCCGCGUGUGUGAAGAAGGCCUUCGGGUUGUAAAGCACUUUCAGCGAGGAGGAAAGGGUGUUGUUUAAUACGCAACAUCUGUGACGUUACUCGCAGAAGAAGCACCGGCUAACUUCGUGCCAGCAGCCGCGGUAAUACGAGGGGUGCAAGCGUUAAUCGGAAUUACUGGGCGUAAAGCGUGCGUAGGUGGUUUGUUAAGCAGGAUGUGAAAGCCCUGGGCUCAACCUGGGAACUGCAUUUUGAACUGGCAAGCUAGAGUUUUGUAGAGGGUAGUGGAAUUUCCAGUGUAGCGGUGAAAUGCGUAGAGAUUGGAAGGAACAUCAGUGGCGAAGGCGGCUACCUGGACAAAGACUGAUACUGAGGCACGAAAGCGUGGGGAGCAAACAGGAUUAGAUACCCUGGUAGUCCACGCCGUAAACGAUGUCAACUAGCCGUCUGUGGUCUUGAACCGUGGGUGGCGUAGCUAACGCGCUAAGUUGACCGCCUGGGGAGUACGGCCGCAAGGUUAAAACUCAAAUGAAUUGACGGGGGCCCGCACAAGCGGUGGAGCAUGUGGUUUAAUUCGAUGCAACGCGAAGAACCUUACCAUCCCUUGACAUCCAGAGAAGAGACUAGAGAUAGAC
rnacentral:rRNA from 1 species